AUAACUCGAUAAUCCACGCAUAAUCAACCUUCUCUAGAUACUACAGCAUGUGUACUGCCGUUGCAAGCAUACCUUUAAAAGAACAGUGUGCUACUAUGAUUACAACUAACUCAUAUACAUCAGGUCAAAGUGCAGCCAAUAAGAAGGAGAUGAUGGGUUACAACCCCAAAACAGACUAUCAACUAAGAAAUAAAAAAUCUUAAGAAAGUGGACUUGGCCGUAAUCAAUUUACAAGUUAAAAAAAUGAAUAAAAAUCUAAGACAUGCACACAUCGCCCGUCACUCUAUCCUAAAGGUUAGAUAAGUCGUAACAAAGUAGGUGUAAUGGAAAUUGUACCUGUCGAAGUAUAGCAUAUAUAAUGCUUUUUACUUACACUAAAAACAAAGUUAAACAACUUGCUUCGCCCACAUAAUAAAAUCUUCUAAACUACCAAAUAAUAAAAACAACUAAAUAAAUAUAACUAAUUAGUAAGUACAGAAAUGGAAACAACAAUAAAUAAAAGUAAAUAUUAACAACUGUACCUUGUGCAUUAUGGUUUUACAAGAAUAUAAUUAAAAAUGUCAAUCCCGAAUUCUAAAUGAGAUGUUAAACUGCUGUUAUGAACCAAUUAGUAACUGUAAAAAAAGUUUUAAAAGACAGUUUAACAGAGGCUACAUACCAUCCGCAUAAGAAUAUAGCUGGUUUUCAACAAACAUUAUACAUUAAAACAUAUAAUCGUAUUAUAGUGUAAUAUUAUUGAGGAUAAGCCCAAUGAUCCUAGUAAUACCCGCACAAAGUUUAUCUUAUAUCAUAGGCCUAAAAUCAGCCAAUUAAAAUACUUUACCGUAAUAAACACAAAUAAAAUACAUAAAACGCCCAUGCUAAAGAAAGUUGAAACUACGGAUAAAUUAAAAUACCCCAAUUUUACUAUGUAAAAAUAAGUAUUAUAAAAAAUUAAUAACUAAAACCAAGAUAUUAACAACACAAAAAUAUUAAUAAUUAAUUAAGGAACUCGGCAAAUAACUAUUUCGACUGUUUAACAAAAACAUUGUCUCAUGAAAUAAAAUAUGAGAUA
rnacentral:rRNA from 1 species